rnacentral:rRNA from 1 species
CGGAGGGUGCAAGCGUUGUUCGGAAUUAUUGGGCGUAAAGCGCGCGCAGGCGGCCGCACAAGUCCAUGGGUGAAAUGCCGGGGCUCAACCCCGCGCGUGCCCAGGAUACUGUGUGGCUAGAGACACGUAGAGGCAAGCGGAAUUCCGGGUGUAGCGGUGGAAUGCGUAGAGAUCCGGAAGAACACCGGAGGCGAAGGCGGCUUGCUGGGCGUGAUCUGACGCUGAGGCGCGAAAGCGUGGGGAGCGAACAGGAUUAGAUACCCUGGUAGUCCACGCUGUAAACGAUGGGCACUGGAUGCGGGGGGGAUCGGCCCUCUCCGUGUCGCAGCUUACGCGUUAAGUGCCCCGCCUGGGGAGUACGGCCGCAAGGCUG